UGUGGGAGCUGGCUUGCCUGCGAUGGCGGUGGGUCAGUUCACAUGUGUAUCACUGAUACACCGCCAUCGCAGGCAAGCCAGCUCCCACA
rnacentral:misc_RNA from 1 species